UGGCGCAGCGGGCGCUCACCGCGCUGAGGGGCUGCACCGCUGUCUCGUUCGACCUUUGCAACAGCCUCAUGAAAUAGGUACUGUGACCACCACCCCCAUUUUACAUGGUGGGAAACUGAGGCACAGACAGACAGAAGUAAACAUGCAGAGUGACGCACAGACGGCAGCUUUGAACCUGGGCCGCCUGGCUCGACAGUCCCUGAUCCUGCGCCCUGGAGCCGGCGCGGCCGAGACUAUCCCCCAGCGUGGCUCCUCGUCAACACCCACGGGGCUUGUCUGGACCAGGCCUCACCCACCAGCUCUCUCAGCCGAGGAUUCAAAGCCAGGUCCCCCACCCCAAUACUAAGAGCCUCAUCUCGGCACCCCACUAUUGGACUGGAGGCCCAGGCUCCAGGGGGCCCAGCCGGUCCAGGGCCAUGGGCAGUGCCCAGCUAACCCAGCGCCCCUGCCCAGCCAGAGUGGCGGCGGGUCUCGGUGCCCCUGCCGGGUCCCAGGCCACAGGCGUGAAGCCCCACUCCGAUGCCUCAGCUUUAGCACCAACAGCCACUGCAAACGUCCAGGCUACACCCGGGGCCGGCUGCCAGCAGCGUGCCUCCCCUUCUGGCCUGGGGCUCGGCGGGGGGGGCAGGCAGGGGAGCAGGGCUGGCCACCACGGGCCGUGGGCCAGCUGCCACGGUGCUGUGAUUGGCAAAACAGUACUCUCUGCCAAAAAAGUGGCGUGGGUGCGGGCAUUGCUCUGUGCCCGGCUUCCUCCUGGGCCACUGCUCACAUGGGCGUGAGGCUCCUGACCCUAUCAGCAACACCCUGGCUUCAGCCCGGCUACCUGGAAGUUCUUUUGUUCUGAGGACUCUCUGUACGGCUGGCUGGUUCGAGGGUGGCCCUGGGAACAUGGGAAAGGGUGGCCACGCACGCAAGCCCAGGAAGGAGGCUGCCAGCAAAACGGCUCACGUGGGUGUGAGGACGAGAGACCAGGUGCUCUCGCACACGCCGUGGCCCCUCGGCCGCUGGGACUGGGACCGCUGGACGUCCCAGGAGGGAUGAGCUGGCAGCUCUGCGCUCCGGUGUCAGCCACAGCCGCCCCGAGCUCUGCUCAGGAGGGGUUUCCGCGAGGGACAUUUCAGUGGCUGUUCUGCCUCAGACUUGGAGUAAAACAUUUUCCAUAAACGUUUGAUGCCCUGAUA